rnacentral:rRNA from 1 species
AGUGGGACUACCCGCUGAACUUAAGCAUAUCAAUAAGCGGAGGAAAAGAAACUAACAAGGAUUCCCCCAGUAACGGCGAGUGAAGAGGGAAAAGCCCAAAUUUGUAAUCUGGCUCUUUUAGAGUCCGAGUUGUAAUUUUGAGAACUGUUUUCUGUGCUGGACCAUGUUUAAGUCUGUUGAAAAACAGCAUCAUUGAGGGUGAUAAUCCCGUUCAUGAUAUGGACUACCAGUGCUCUAUGAUACAGUCUCUAAGAGUCGAGUUGUUUGGGAAUGCAGCUCAAAGUGGGUGGUAAAUUCCAUCUAAGGCUAAAUAUAGGUGGGAGACCGAUAGCAAACAAGUACCGUGAGGGAAAGAUGAAAAGAACUUUGGAAAGAGAGUUAACAGUACGUGAAAUUGCUGAAAGGGAAACAAUUGAAGUUAGCCUUGUUAUUUCCAGUUCAACCCUUUUAGGGUGUAUUCUGGUGAUUAACGACCAACAUCAGUCUUUGAGUGCUGGAUAAGGGUUUUGGAAAUGUAGCAGUCUAGGCUGUGUUAUAGUCCAUUACUUUGAUACAAUGCUUAGGAUUGAGGAUCGCAGUAAGCCAAUCUUGGUGGAUCAAUUUAUUGGUCUUCUUACUGAGGAUGUUGGUGAAUA